CAGCAACAACUGCAGCAGCAACAACUGCCGCUCCUUCUAACCCCUAAUUAAAAGGAAAAUUCUAUCGAUCGCCAACACCAAUGAGCAACGCACUCGAAAGUCCAGGAAAACCACAGAACAACCGCACGAAGUCAAGACCAAAUGAAAUAAUAAUUUUGACCACAGCAAUAUGUAGAGUGUUCCAUUUUAGCCACAAUAAAGCAAUCAGUACAGCACAUAAACAAAUUGA